UUCCGGNUGAUCCUGCCGGAGGUUACUGCUUUCGAGGUUCGACUAAGCCAUGCGAGUCGAAUGCCGCAAGGCAUGGCGUACUGCUCAGUAACACGUGGACAACCUACCCUUAGGACUGGGAUAACCCCGGGAAACUGGGAAUAAUCCCCGAUAGUCCUCGAAGGCUGGAAUGCAUCGAGGGCGAAAGCUCCGGCGCCUAAGGAUGGGUCUGCGGCCUAUCAGGUAGUAGUGGGUGUAGCGUACCUACUAGCCUACGACGGGUACGGGUUGUGAGAGCAAGAGCCCGGAGAUGGAUUCUGAGACACGAAUCCAGGCCCUACGGGGUGCAGCAGGCGCGAAAACUUUACAAUGCUGGCAACAGCGAUAAGGGAACCUCGAGUGCCAGGUUACAAAUCUGGCUGUCGAGAUGCCUAAAAAGCAUUUCAUAGCAAGGGCCGGGCAAGACCGGUGCCAGCCGCCGCGGUAACACCGGCGGCUCGAGUGGUAACCGUUAUUAUUGGGUCUAAAGGGUCUGUAGCCGGCCGGAUAAGUCUCUUGGGAAAUCUGGCAGCUCAACUGUCAGGCUAUCAGGAGAUACUGUCUGGCUCGAGGCCGGGAGAGGUGAGAGGUACUUCAGGGGUAGGGGUGAAAUCUUGUAAUCCUUGAAGGACCACCAGUGGCGAAGGCGUCUCACCAGAACGGACCUGACGGCAAGGGACGAAAGCUAGGGGCAC
rnacentral:rRNA from 1 species